GUUUUUUGAAGACUUGAUGAACCAUUUGCCAUAGGUCUCAUCCGCUAUGUAGGGAUACCU
rnacentral:sRNA from 1 species